rnacentral:rRNA from 1 species
UAGGGAAUCUUCGGCAAUGGGGGCAACCCUGACCGAGCAACGCCGCGUGAGUGAAGAAGGUUUUCGGAUCGUGAAGCUCUGUUGUUGGUGAAGAAGGAUAGAGGCAGUAACUGGUCUUUAUUUGACGGUAAUCAACCAGAAAGUCACGGCUAACUACGUGCCCG